GUCCACUGCCCUGGCCACAGCGGCCACAGCAGCUGGCUCGGGGACGGUGUGCAGCUCAGAUCACUGGGGUUUUCAGUGUGGCCACAGAGGGAAAGGUGUCUGCCUCCGGUCUCAGGGUCAGGAGGAGCGGACGCCGGGUCCACACGUAGCCUCGUCCCCACUACGGUCCCAGUCAGGAAAUGAAACCAGGAAGACCCGAGCAGAGACGGGAGAGAGACCCUCCUCUGCUCAGGACCGGUGGCCCUGAGCCCCAUCCUCCCUGGACAUCCCAGCUGUGUGAGCAAGUGAGUCCCCUGUUCGUCCCAGCUGCCCUGAGCUGGGAUUUGCUCACUUGGGUGGUUUAUAACUCACACAGGGUUUGGAACCUGCCCUGGCCUGAGGCUUGCGCCCAGCACGAAAAUCGGGGGAGGUGAAGGCAGGGGCGUUGUGGAAUCAGCAGCCCUCCAUGGGGACCUUGCCUUCACUGCUGUGGGACUGGACCCCCUAGCUGCUCAGGCUUCAUCUGCAGGGUGGAACAUUCCAGAAUAUCAGGAGGGGCAUCAGCCCUGAUGGCUUUGGCAGGUAGGGGCUGAGACUCAGAGGCUGCCCUCCACAGGACUGCCCACAGGACUUGGCCAGGACCAAACUAGCAUAGAAUGUGCUAGACUUCCCCAGUUCUCCGUCUCUGGGAAGGAGGUAGGCAGGGCCGUCCUUAGCAUAGCGACGUCCGCUGAGGAACUGUCCUGGAAAUUUCUCUGUCUGCUCCGCUUGUUACGGGCUCAUCUACAGUCUCCUGCUUGGCCUCGUUGGCAGAUGGGUCUCCUGUUGCUGCGUGACAAAUCAAAUAUAUACAAAGAUUUACAAAGGCGAGGGCCUCGUGCCUCUCUCCACGAACAUCCACAGGACGUCCGCUGAUUCUCCUGCCCAGGGCUGGGAACGGCACGGCAGAAACGCUGCCUGAGCUCUGACCCCUGGCGCUCCCGGCAUCCACCCCGAUUUUCCAUCUGGUCUCCAUUAUCUCACUUCGGUGCCUUCACAGACUUUGCUGGAAACGAGAGCAGUCGGUGUUCCUCUGCCCGUCUUCAGUGCUGGCCGAGGCGUGCCUCCUGCCACAGGGAGGAGAGCCCCCGGGGGUCCGGUCCACACAGCCCUCGCUCGCCCCUGCCCUGAGCCACCCGGCCUCUGCUGCUCCCUGGAAAGGCUCUGGAAUUCCUGAUUCCACAUCAUCUGUGCGUGUCAGGCCCGGCACACUGUUGCAGCCAGCUGUCUCCAACCCCCCGGGGUCCCCUCCUGUCUGUGGCCGGGGCUCCCCUGACCCGUGGCUGCUGCUUCCUCGGGCUGCAGGCUCCAGAGGAAAGCAGACGAGCCGGGUCUGGACCUGCCGGGUGGUGAGAGCCAGCGGGACCCGGGGGGAGGCCGUCUGCAGGGGGGAAGUGAGGCGGCACGGGGCUCCCGCACCCCCUGCAUUAUGUGGUCUCUUCCGUGUGGGCUGGAGGCUCUGCCCUGAGGUCCACAGGCAGAGUUCAGCCGCCCAAGAAGGUGGAUGGGAACGACUGUGUCUCUAUUUUCACUAACUUCUAACUACAAGUCAGAUUUCCUUCCUCUGAAUGUGGGUAACACAGCACGGUGGCGGCAGUGCACCCGGGGGCCCCGUCGACAGCAGGAGCCUCGUCCCGGACACUGUUUAAGCUCAUCGCUAUGUAAAAUCACGGCGCCUGUUAGGCCCGCCACUGGGGCUUAUUGCCCGUGAAUAAAGAGGCAUCCAUACUGCGACAUCGCAAAUUUAUUCUUUAGACUCUAACCAUGCUUUUCAAUCAAGUGGAUUUUCUUUGUUCUCCUAAGUGUUCCCAGCGUUCUUCUGAGAGAGGUCCUGAAGCAGCCCCCACCCGUGCCCCCCUGUAUCCCCAGGCCUGGCCAUCCCGGCACCACCCCCUACCGUCACAGAGUCCCCCCCCCCCCGGCCCCGCACCCCGAAAGCCACUGCCUGCGAGGCCGGAGCACAGACAGCGUGGGAAUUACAACGUCGACCCUGAGAGCCCGCACCUCACCUCUUCGUGAUAAUCUCUGGAAAAGGGAUAUCAUGCGUGUAUUUUGAAUCACUUAUGACCCACCCCUGGUUACCCGGUACCGUGAGGAGAGUCGGGGCCACAUUCACACGUGCAUUUCCCACUGAGGUGCCACAGAGCAGGGACGCUUGGACUGUCACAAGGACAGAGACAGGUGGGCGGUGCACAGCACAAACACAUCCUGCACCCAUAAUGUGACAGCUGGUUUGGGGACGUUCAGGGAAGUGAAUAACCACACGUGGCCACUGCCGGCUGGUGUGCGGGCUGCAAAUACAGCCACCAGCGCCCUGGGGACCCAGCCGCUCUGGAGUCCUGGCUGAGGUGGGACAAACAUGUCUCC